AGAACGCUGAAGAGAGGAGCUUGCUCUUCUUGGAUGAGUUGCGAACGGGUGAGUAACGCGUAGGUAACCUGCCUUGUAGCGGGGGAUAACUAUUGGAAACGAUAGCUAAUACCGCAUAACAAUGGAUGACAUCAUGUCAUUUAUUUGAAAGGGGCAAUUGCUCCACUACAAGAUGGACCUGCGUUGUAUUAGCUAGUAGGUGAGGUAACGGCUCACCUAGGCGACGAUACAUAGCCGACCUGAGAGGGUGAUCGGCCACACUGGGACUGAGACACGGCCCAGACUCCUACGGGAGGCAGCAGUAGGGAAUCUUCGGCAAUGGCGGCAACCCUGACCGAGCAACGCCGCGUGAGUGAAGAAGGUUUUCGGAUCGUAAAGCUCUGUUGUAAGUCAAGAACGAGUGUGAGAGUGGAAAGUUCACACUGUGACGGUAGCUUACCAGAAAGGGACGGCUAACUACGUGCCAGCAGCCGCGGUAAUACGUAGGUCCCGAGCGUUGUCCGGAUUUAUUGGGCGUAAAGCGAGCGCAGGCGGUUUGAUAAGUCUGAAGUUAAAGGCUGUGGCUCAACCAUAGUUCGCUUUGGAAACUGUCAAACUUGAGUGCAGAAGGGGAGAGUGGAAUUCCAUGUGUAGCGGUGAAAUGCGUAGAUAUAUGGAGGAACACCGGUGGCGAAAGCGGCUCUCUGGUCUGUAACUGACGCUGAGGCUCGAAAGCGUGGGGAGCGAACAGGAUUAGAUACCCUGGUAGUCCACGCCGUAAACGAUGAGUGCUAGGUGUUGGAUCCUUUCCGGGAUUCAGUGCCGCAGCUAACGCAUUAAGCACUCCGCCUGGGGAGUACGACCGCAAGGUUGAAACUCAAAGGAAUUGACGGGGGCCCGCACAAGCGGUGGAGCAUGUGGUUUAAUUCGAAGCAACGCGAAGAACCUUACCAGGUCUUGACAUCCCGAUGCUAUUUCUA
rnacentral:rRNA from 1 species